UACGUAGGGUGCGAGCGUUAAUCGGAAUUACUGGGCGUAAAGCGUGCGCAGGCGGUUUUGUAAGACAGUUGUGAAAUCCCCGGGCUUAACCUGGGAAUGGCAUCUGUGACUGCAAGGCUAGAGUACGGCAGAGGGGGAUGGAAUUCCGCGUGUAGCAGUGAAAUGCGUAGAUAUGCGGAGGAACACCGAUGGCGAAGGCAACCCCCUGGGCCUGUACUGACGCUCAUGCACGAAAGCGUGGGGAGCAAACAGG
rnacentral:rRNA from 1 species